GUUUGGAGGAAGCCAAAUAUUGCCAAAAGAUUGGUAUGUCCAUUGCACUCUGCUCAGGAGGCUGGCAAGGCUGACAGGGCACCCCUUGUGUCCUAUCGCUUCACCUGCCCCUGUGGUGUUGGACUUAGCUGAGCUCAUAGGUGGGAAUGUUCAGGGAUGCAAGAGAGGAUAUAUUGUCUGAUUAUAUCCUUUUCCAACUUGUGUUAACAAGUUCACAAUUUAGCAGAGUAACAUUCCCCUUUUUAAACUUGCAGCGGAUGCGUUUGCUCAGGCUCGCUAAAGCCUCUAUAAUAACUGUUCUGGUAUUUUCCCCUUAUUCCCUCAUAAAAGAUAAGACACAGCACAGUCUUUUAUACAAGUAUAGAAAGGUUUACUCGCACAUCAUUCUGUUCACAAUCAGAUCCCAGAAGGCAGACUUAGCUUAGAAAAGUAACAUAUACCUAGAAACUAUCUCAUAAGGAGACAGUCCCUUUGUCCUCUCUUGGCUGGAGGCCAAGAGAGCAUCUUUGGCUAAGCAGAUGUUGCUUCUUUGAUGCAUGUAGUCAAAACAGAGAGGUGGCUGCCCUGCCCUGUGCUUUUGUUGUUACCUGCACAGGUGAGGCCACACCCACCUCUAGUCACAUGCAGAGGAAGUCUGUCCCAGCCCAGAAGGAAACAGGAAGUUGACCUGCUGGCUGGACAGACAUUCCUCCCCAUGUGUAAACAUGUUCACUCUAGGAAUGUUGUACUUGACUGCUCUUGUGUUUACAUCCCACAUGUUUGGCAAGAGCUCAAAGUCUGGCUUACAUUUUACUUUCACCAUCCUUCUCCAUCCCUUUCCUUUAAUGAUAGUAGAUGAAUUUGCCAUCCAUGUCUUUCCUAAAUUCCAGCUGAAAUCCUUUGCACACUUGCCCUAUUGAACACGAUAAAGCCUGAUUCAGAGUAAAGAUAGCUGCAGGGAUGUGGGCACAGGCAGGAUUUUUGUUAGGGGGGCAGAACUGACCUGAUUGCUCAGCUAGUUAUGUAUUUCUAUUGUUUUACUUGAUCUAGGGGAGAAGCUGCCCCACCUUGGCUUUGCCCAUAGCAGGGUAGGAGGCACCACAUGGCACAGCCUUGAGUGCCUUGGAAGAAGGGCAGGGGUUUAAAAAAUAUCACUAACACAUGAGGAGAAUCAGGCUACACUCUGUACGCUUUGGCUGCAACUCCCUACAUUAUGUACAGAAGAAUGCAAGUCCCAACCCUUCCUCUGGGUUAGAGCCAAGCACCUGAGGAAAUAUAACAGGAAGGAAGGGCCUGAAAAGAAAGAUGAUCACUGCAACACCAUAGUGGCCUUUGACUGGACCUAAUUGUCCAGGGGUCCUUUACCUUUGACGUGUCCCCAUAGCCCAUCCUGUGUGGACAUGAUUCACGUCAUCUACACAGGUGGAAAGAAUGUGGCAACUGGGCAAUUUUUCUUGUGUGCAUCUGCCUGCACUCAGGUCCGUCCUAUCAGUCUCUGCUCAGCGGCUGGCAUGGUCUGCCACGCAGUCUGAACUGGGCCCAACACAGAUGCUUUUCGGGGAGUCCUUGCCUCUGGAUUGGCAACAUGCACCCCUUCUCCCUCAUAGACUCUCUGCCCAUGGACUGGGGACAGAUCUGUGUCCCACUGGAGUGGGUCCCACCCUAAGCCGGCCUGAGACCACGUGGCUUUCAGCUCAACGCCUUCCUUUGACCUUCUCUUGUCUUCUUUAGGCUGCUGUCCCCGUGAAUGGAAUCUCUUCAGGUGGAAAUGCCUGUGGAUUUCACCUUCAAGGGAAAUGAAGAGUUGGGACGAUAGCCAGAAAGCCUGCAAGAGGAAAUCAUCUCAGCUGCUUGUUUUGCAGCCCUGGAGUGCAAAAGAACUAUGGGAUGCCACAGACAUUGAUAAG